rnacentral:lncRNA from 10 species
AUGGAUUUGACCUGUAUUUUAAAAAGAGUCAUACAAAUUAUAAGUUUUUGUCUAUGAAAAUAUAUGAAUAUUACUAUAGCAUCAUCACACAGGAGGCAAAGUCUGGUUUUUUUUUUACGUUUUAGGAUUUUUUUUGUUUUGUUUUUAACCACAAAUAUAUUUUCAAACUUCACAAAGCAUAAAAAUGCCAAUACUGUACAAAAAUCCAAACUUCUUUAAAAUCUUAAUGGAUUUUCAGCAUCAUCCGAAAUGAUAUCAGUUUACAAUGACAUACUUUGCAUUUUUGAGUAAGUUUUGAACAUUCAUAGAAUUUUCAACUUUAUUAUUCAUCUCAAAAGUCUCACAACAAUGCCAUAAGGUAGACAGCUUAAGGUCCCAUUUGGAAGAUGGAAAACAUGAGGUAAAAAACAUUACAUGAUUCCUACAAAACCAAUCAAUAAGUCAGACACCUAAAUAGAAAUAGGACAUAUAAAUUCUGUUUAAAAAAUCCACUUUUCCAUUAUUGGAUUUUCUUAUAACCUUGUGUAUUUAUUUCUCUCAUUUGUGCUUAAAUAUCAUUGAAUUCAAUUGAAUUAAGCACAGAAAUAUUUAAAUCAGUAUACACAGUUUCACAGAUACUUAUUCACAAAAAGGUAUCACAGUCUUAUUAAAUAUAAAUAAAAUUACACAAAACACAUAUUCACGGUUAUAGAAAUUACAUAGAGGAAAGUAAUUUUUUGGUAGUCAGAUCUGCUUUCCUCUAUCUACUAAAGGAAGUGUUUAGUUUUAAUAUAAAAUAUGUUCAUCAUCAAUCAAGCCCAUCUUUAAUAUGCUAAACAUUCUCAAAAACUUUAAAUGUUUCUGUGCUAUAUGCAAACUGUAGGAGUUUAAGUGAAGGACAUGUAAGAAUUUAAGUUUUUACUCUGUUUUCUCUGGUGGUAGUUACUCCUAGUCAUUGACUCAGAAAUUCGAUGACAUUUCAUUUUUAAAGAGGAAAUGUGUAUGAUAAGCUUUUUGUGUUUAUAUCUUACUGAGAUGUGAAUAAUAACUGGGAGAUAUUUUUAGUUGUAUUUCUCUCAAUUACAUAUAAACACAUAUAAACACAUGUACAUGUAAACUAACAAAAUUUUCCAACACUAGGGAAAUGAAUAGUCUAGAUUUUUCUCUAAUAAAUCAGAGCAGCAAAUCUAAUCUCACAUUUGAGGUCUAUAGAAAUACGGAUGCAUCUCUGUAGUCAGAACUAUGGUGACAGAUGAUUGUCACAUCCUAUGACUACUUGUCUAUAAGCAGACAUAGUGCAAAAUAUAUUAAUAAGGCAUAAAAGUGAUUUUGAAAAAAUUAUAGUAGUUCACCGAAUUUGUCUUACAACGUAAUUCAAAGUACUUUGAAAUCAAUUACAUGGCUUUAAAGAAGCAAAGAUCAAUUUUUUGAAAGUAUAGUAAGUUUUAUUGAGUCUAAAGCACAUUAUUAAUGAUAAAUAGUAGCUAAUCCAUGAGACACUACCGUGUGCAGACACUAUUGCAAGUGUUUUACUUGUGUUAAUUCAUUUAAUUCUCAAAACAACUAUUAUGAGGUAGUACCACUUUUAUUCCCAUUGUAGAGGUGAAAGAGUUAAUGAAGAGAGAUGUUAAGUAACUUCAGCAAGGACACACAGCUCCUAUGAGGCAGAGACGAUGUUUCAACUUGAGGAGCCUGGUUCAAAGUCCAUGUUUUCUAUCACUAUUACCAUCAUUAGGAUUUGGGCCGUAUGUACCACUUAUUUGAAAAAAAAUUGAGCUCAUUUAUCUUAAAGCUUGCCAAGGCAUUCAUUUCCAUAUAACAAAGAUUUAUUUAGUUCAUAGUAUAUGCAAGGCACUGUCCUACGUGCUUUACACAAAGCUUUACACAAAUCAGCUCUGAUAUUCUGAUAGACACCUGACCUGAUACUCUGAUGGACAUCUGACUUGUCAGAGAGCUGAAGACUUACAAAAGUACCAGUUGCCAUAUACUGAUAUAAAUAUUUCUAAGUAAAUAAUUGGAUAACUCAUUCCAUCAAAAAUUAGCGUGCUUGUCCUGUUACUAAUUAUUUGAAACCAAUUCUCCUAGCCUUCAUCUGCUUCUUUUUAUCCUCCUGUGCUCAUGGAAAAACGUUCCAAAGAGUCUUAAUUUUUUUUUUUGUCCUUUCUGGGCCAACUGCUACUAACAUAUAGAUGGCAAGAUGCUG